rnacentral:sRNA from 1 species
AAUAAAUAAUUAAUAAAUAAAAGGUUUAAUUUACAAAAAGAAAAACAACAUUUUGAAAAAUUCUAAAAAAUGUGUAAACAUAAAGUUAAGUCAGUAGCAUACAUAGAUAUACCACAGAUAUUUAUGAGUAUAUUUAUUGUAUGCCACGUCAUAUGUAUAAAAUGUUAUGAUUAGAUGUAUGGUAUCACAGAUAUGCUAAAUAUACUUGGCAAACUAGAUGGUGAGUGAAGACAUGACACUGAAGGUUGUAUAUUUCAAUAUCAGUAGGCACUAGACGUUGGCAUAUUUAACAAUAGUAGACCCUAGACGUUGGUAUAUUUUAAUAUCAAUUGUAGGCUUUAGACGUUGGCAUAUUUUUAUAUCAAUAGUAGCAUUAGUAGGCCCUAAACGUUGGCAUAUUUUAAUAUCAAUAGUAGGCCCUAGUUGUUGGUAUAAUUCAAUUUCAAUAGUAGGCCCUAGACGUUAGUAUAUUUCAAUAUCAAUUGUUGGCCUUAGAUGUUGGUAUAGUUCAAUUUCAAUAGUAGACCAUAGAUGUUGGUAUAUUUCAAUAUCAAUUGUAGGCCCUAGAUGUUGGUAUAGUUCAAUUUCAAUAGUAGGCCAUAGAUGCUGGUAUAGUUCAAAUUCAAUAGUAGGCUCUAGAUGUUGGCAUAGUUCAAUAUCAAUAGUAGGCCCUAGAUGUUUACGGUUAAACGUCUAAAAUAUGUAUAAUAAGGAAAAAAAAACU